GCACGAAAGGCGUAACGAUUUGGGCACUGUCUCAACGAGAGACUCGGUGAAAUUUUAGUACCUGUGAAGAUGCAGGUUACCCGCGACAGGACGGAAAGACCCCAUGGAGCUUUACUGUAGUUUGAUAUUGAGUGUCUGUACCGCAUGUACAGGAUAGGUAGGAGCCGUAGAAAUCGGAACGCUAGUUUCGAUGGAGGCGCUGGUGGGAUACUACCCCUGCGUUAUGGCCACUCUAACCCGCACCACUGAUCGUGGUGGGAGACAGUGUCAGAUGGGCAGUUUGACUGGGGCGGUCGCCUCCUAAAAGGUAACGGAGGCGCCCAAAGGUUCCCUCAGAAUGGUUGGAAAUCAUUCGAAGAGUGUAAAGGCAGAAGGGAGCUUGACUGCGAGACCAACAAGUCGAGCAGGGACGAAAGUCGGGCUUAGUGAUCCGGUGGUUCCGCAUGGAAGGGCCAUCGCUCAACGGAUAAAAGCUACCCUGGGGAUAACAGGCUUAUCUCCCCCAAGAGUCCACAUCGACGGGGAGGUUUGGCACC
rnacentral:rRNA from 1 species